AAAUUCAUAUCUAAAGAGCUUUUCUUUAAAAAAGGAGGUCCCGGGUUCAAUUCCCGGCGAAGUCG
rnacentral:tRNA from 1 species